UACGUAGGGGGCAAGCGUUGUCCGGAAUCAUUGGGCGUAAAGCGCGUGUAGGCGGCUGGCUAAGUCCGCUCUGAAAGCCCGGGGCUCAACCCCGGGAGGCGGGUGGAUACUGGUCAGCUCGAGUCCGGAAGAGGCGAGUGGAAUUCCUGGUGUAGCGGUGAAAUGCGCAGAUAUCAGGAGGAACACCAAUGGCGAAGGCAGCUCGCUGGGACGUGACUGACGCUGGAGACGCGAAAGCGUGGGGAGCAAACAGG
rnacentral:rRNA from 1 species